rnacentral:rRNA from 1 species
AGUCGAGCGGUAGAGAGAAGCUUGCUUCUCUUGAGAGCGGCGGACGGGUGAGUAAUACCUAGGAAUCUGCCUGAUAGUGGGGGAUAACGUUCGGAAACGGACGCUAAUACCGCAUACGUCCUACGGGAGAAAGCAGGGGACCUUCGGGCCUUGCGCUAUCAGAUGAGCCUAGGUCGGAUUAGCUAGUUGGUGAGGUAAUGGCUCACCAAGGCUACGAUCCGUAACUGGUCUGAGAGGAUGAUCAGUCACACUGGAACUGAGACACGGUCCAGACUCCUACGGGAGGCAGCAGUGGGGAAUAUUGGACAAUGGGCGAAAGCCUGAUCCAGCCAUGCCGCGUGUGUGAAGAAGGUCUUCGGAUUGUAAAGCACUUUAAGUUGGGAGGAAGGGCAGUAAAUUAAUACUUUGCUGCUUUGACGUUACCGACAGAAUAAGCACCGGCUAACUCUGUGCCAGCAGCCGCGGUAAUACAGAGGGUGCAAGCGUUAAUCGGAAUUACUGGGCGUAAAGCGCGCGUAGGUGGUUUGUUAAGUUGAAUGUGAAAUCCCCGGGCUCAACCUGGGAACUGCAUCCAAAACUGGCAAGCUAGAGUAUGGUAGAGGGUAGUGGAAUUUCCUGUGUAGCGGUGAAAUGCGUAGAUAUAGGAAGGAACACCAGUGGCGAAGGCGACUACCUGGACUGAUACUGACACUGAGGUGCGAAAGCGUGGGGAGCAAACAGGAUUAGAUACCCUGGUAGUCCACGCCGUAAACGAUGUCAACUAGCCGUUGGGAGUCUUGAACUCUUAGUGGCGCAGCUAACGCAUUAAGUUGACCGCCUGGGGAGUACGGCCGCAAGGUU